AUUGAACGCAGGCGGCAGGCUUAACACAUGCAAGUCGAGCGGAGAUGAGGUGCUUGCACCUUAUCUUAGCGGCGGACGGGUGAGUAAUGCUUAGGAAUCUGCCUAGUGGUGGGGGAUAACGUUCGGAAACGGACGCUAAUACCGCAUACGUCCUACGGGAGAAAGCGGGGGAUCUUCGGACCUCGCGCCAUUAGAUGAGCCUAGGUCGGAUUAGCUAGUUGGUGGGGUAAUGGCCCACCAAGGCGACGAUCCGUAGCUGGUCUGAGAGGACGACCAGCCACACUGGGACUGAGACACGGCCCAGACUCCUACGGGAGGCAGCAGUGGGGAAUUUUGGACAAUGGGGGCAACCCCGAUCCAGCAAUGCCGCGUGUGUGAAGAAGGCCUGAGGGUUGUAAAGCACUUUCAGUAGUGAGGAGAGAUGAGAGGUUAAGAGCCACUUAUUGAGACGUUAGCUACAGAAGAAGCACCGGCUAACUCCGUGCCAGCCGCCGCGGUAA
rnacentral:rRNA from 1 species